rnacentral:rRNA from 1 species
GACAGAGGGUGCAAACGUUGUUCGGAAUUACUGGGCGUAAAGCGCGUGUAGGCGGCAAGGCAAGUCGGGUGUGAAAGCCCUGGGCUCAACCCAGGAAGUGCAUUCGAUACUGCCAAGCUAGAGUCCCGGAGAGGAUGGUGGAACUCUCGGUGUAGAGGUGAAAUGCGUAGAUAUCUGGAGGAAUACCGGUGGCGAAGGCGGCAUCCUGGACCAUUACUGACGCUGAGGCGCGAAAGCUAGAGGAGCAAACGGG